rnacentral:lncRNA from 1 species
AUGAAACUUAUUGCUACAAAGGUACAAAAAAAUCAGUCAAAUCUCAGAUCUGAAACCAAUGCACUUGGUGGUGUCGCCUUUAAAAGUAAACGUCUAUGUGCUAUUGAUGCAUUGAAAAAAAUCAAAGACUUAAGAACCAAAAUUAAAGAAAUGCCUCCUGAUGGUAAGUCAAUUCAUUGUGAAUCUAAUCUGGAAACUCAAAACAUGAGUCACCUUCCAGUAAUUAAAAGUCUCACCAAAGGAAGAUUAAGUUCGUCUGUAGGUUGUCAAACAGUCGAAAGCAAUCCUCCUGUUUGGGAUGGCCCAAAAAGUUUAGUCCCUUAUCACGAUGUUAGUAAUAUUGACUUGCUUCAAAGGUCAACAGGUACAAAUUCUAAUUCAAGGUUUUUUGAUCAAAUCCUACACUCUUUUCAUAGGAACUGGUAUCGUGAACUUCAGGAAUUGUCUGAUUCUCGCAACAUUCACGGUCCAAGUUUCUCACUAUCAAACACUUCCGAUUCAUCUGAUGUCAAAGCUAUCAUGACUUUUCGUCAGUGUAAUUUGCUGCCUGGUUUGACUGGUGGAACGGCAAGAGUGUCUCCAGUCGAUGCCGAAGAUAUGGCAUCUUGUAGUAAAUCAAUACUUGGGAAAAGGAAACAAGAGAACAAAGAAAAUUUUGGCACUGAUGUCCAAUAUGGGAACAAUAAUAAUGUAGUAGCUGUGAAAAAAGCCCUGGUAGCACUGGGUAACUGUAGGGUUAUCGUUGAAAGACUACCAUGUGACAUGGGCUUCAAGGCUGAUUACAGCGUCAGAUGUGUCUCCAACGGCUUAACACCAGACUCAAGCAAAAAAGUCUUGUCUCAGUGUUUUCAUUUGCAAAAAAGCUUUUCUAAUGGUUCCAGUUUAUACCAUUGGGCUCUAGAUGGCACUAUCGACUUAUCCUCUGAUACCUCUGAUGAAGAUCUGAAACAGAAUUCAUUAAAAUCCAUUCAAAAUGCUCUGGAGAAUAACUCGCAGUCUUCAAAUUGUUCUGAUCUCAGUGAUUGUUUGUCCUCUGAAAAGUCCUCGCCAGAAGAAGAAUCAAGCUCAGAAGGUCAAAAUUUCCCAAAUGUUCAGUUCUGUUGA